rnacentral:piRNA from 1 species
UGGUUUAGAGUACCACACUUGGAGAGC